GCUGAUUGUAAAAAUCUUCCAUACGUAGAAUUGCCUUCUCUAUGAUGCGGCUCCAGGACCCAGCACUAACCUUGGCACGAGGAAGUGCGGGGAGGAACGCGCGGACCAGGUACGAGGAGGGGAGGGCCCAGGGCCGGCCUCAGCACCCUCCCCUGCCGGACUGCGGAGGGCAGGUGCAGCGGAACAAGGGAGGGGCCGGAGGACCGCAGGAUUUAAGGCGCUGUCAUGCCUUAAGUGAAAUGUAAUAAAGUGACUUAAAGGUUAUUUUUUAAAGCCAGUUCAAUAAGGUCAUUAACUGAGAUCAACUGUCAGCGGAGUGGCCCUCCGCUGGAGGCAUUUCGGAGGGUGUAGACUGUUGCAGGGUGGUGUCUGGUUAUCUGAAGGACAGGGAUCCGGAAUCCCGUCCUGUGGAGGUUGGGGACUGGGGUGUGGCAAUCCUGAGACGUGGGCCUUCCCGACGCCUGCGCCUGUGGCAUUCCGACAUUCCAGGAGGGAAGAGGCCUGUUACAAUUCUGCCAGGCAGGGCUUCACUGCAUUUCUUGUAUGGACACGUCGGACUUUGUGCCCAGUGUGAACAAACAUGGAAUUGCCAGGAACGCAGCUGCGCCAUAGCUGAAGAAGGGGACCCGGAUGAGGAGACCUAAUGUGAGCCCAGUGCUCUGCAGAAUCCCGUGCACACUGCAGGUGUGCCAAGCCCUUUCCUGCCCACUGCCUUACCUCAGGACCCACCUCCAACCCUGCUCUAGAACGUGGGCCUGGGCCAGAAUAGAAGGGCUGGCCAGAGGGGAAAGCGAAAAGGAGAACAAUGGGACAUACGGAGUUGCACAACAGGACGGGAGAGAGCUUUUCACACCGCCGAGAUGGCGUCAGUGAGGCUGGGCAUGAGGGGGCUGGACACGAGAGGAGGGUCUCUAGGCUGGACUCCCAGCGUCCACACGCCCUGGCCCGGCUGUCUCCAGGAAUCUAGCCUCAAAAAAAAUCAUCUGAGGGGCACCUGGCUGGCUCAGUCGGUAGAGCACGCGACUCUCGAUGUCAAGUUGUG